UGCCAGCCGCCGCGGUAAUACGGAGGGGGUUAGCGUUGUUCGGAAUUACUGGGCGUAAAGCGCACGUAGGCGGACUGGAAAGUUGGGGGUGAAAUCCCAGGGCUCAACCCUGGAACUGCCUCCAAAACUAUCAGUCUGGAGUUCGAGAGAGGUGAGUGGAAUUCCGAGUGUAGAGGUGAAAUUCGUAGAUAUUCGGAGGAACACCAGUGGCGAAGGCGGCUCACUGGCCCGAUACUGACACUGAGGUACGAAAGCGUGGGUAGCAAACAGGAUUAGAUA
rnacentral:rRNA from 1 species